GACCGCUCUGAUGGUCCAUUGGUUAGAACAUCCACCUUGGAUGCAGGAGGUCAUGGGUUUGAUCCCCAGCUGAGUCG